rnacentral:lncRNA from 1 species
AUGUCCUCCUGCAUGUGGACAGGCAGGCCGUGUGCAGGUGCUGUUCAGGAUGUCAGCACGGGGCCUCUCAAGGAGACGCGUCUUUGCCACCCCCCUCCCAGGGCCCACCAGGAAGACAAAGAAAUGACAUGUAUGAGCACCUGCUGUCCACAGGCCAAUUCUCAGCCGGCAAAGAGUCCUCAGCCCGCGAGGAUGCGACAGGCCUGGACCAAACGUCAGGCGAGGUACUUAGCUGGCUUUGACCUGCUGCUGUGGAGUCACCCCUGUGCCCUGGGCCGUCCAGACAGCCAGCGAGAGGUCAGCAGGAGGCCGGUGGGCAGCGCGAUGCUGCUCUGGCCCAGGACGUCGUUGGCGGAUACGGCCUCUGCCUCCAGGAUUUAUCGGGGGCUUGCCUACGCCCUUCUCUCAUCUGGAGAUCAGAGCCAGCAUCUGGGAGACACACGGUGCCCCCAGGGUGGUCUCCCUUGACCUCCACGUUGAAUCUGACAUGGAGCCUGACCAGUUACAUCUUUUAAAUAUUUCUUGGAUCUCCGCUUCUUUUCCGUUCCUAACACCAGGAUCCAAGUUCAGCCACCGAACUUUGUCCCUUUGGUGUUAAUUCAACUCCAAGCCCUGGCUGGCAGGACAGUUGAUGGAGAAUCUGAAUCUGGCCUCAUCUGCCCCAGCUCAGAGCCCUUUGAGGAUGCUCCAUUGUCUCCAGGGAAAAGCUGGGUUGCUGGGUGUGGCAUUCAAGGUCCCCCCGCCUGUCUGUCCUAACCCCAUCAACCCUUCCAGCUUUGUCUCCUGUUACUCCCUGCCUUUUAUGGGUCCACGGAAGCCAAACUGCCCUGGGGCCUCUGGCUGCCCACCGCAUACUUCCCAUUGUUAAAUUUGCCCCGUGCCUCAGAGCCUUGCUUGGCCCGGAAUGUCCUUCCCACCUCUACUAUCUUGUGUACCUGUAAUUUGUCCUUUCAGACAGCCGAGGCAUCAUCGGCUCCUCCAUCUCCUCCGUGUGCAUUUCCAAAUCCUCAGGUUGGGCUUGAUGCCCCCAGGUCGCUCAUGGGCAUCCUGUUGCUUGCCCAUGUGUGUGGAACAACCAGUUAAUAGGCCUACUGAGGGCUGGCAUGCCCAUCUCUGAGCCCUCAGCACCCACAGAGUCUGGCAAACAGGGAUGCUCCGGGCAAAAGUCUGCCAGGCAAAUCCCUGAGAGAGGGGAGAGCAGCCUGCAGGCCCCUGGCUGUCCCUGCACCUGCACACGCUACGGCCCUCGGUCCUAGAAUGCUCAUUUACACUUCCUCUGUGCACCAGUCAGACCCGGGAUGACGCUGAUGGAGAAAUGUUUUGUUUGGUGGUCCCAGAGCCAAGUACCCAGGUGCUUUUUCGGACAGUGGUGGAAAGUGGGUUAUAGCUGUAGGUGGCCUGGAAAACAUCCAGAAGUCAUCAAGAAGUUCCUCGGCUCAGCGGUACCGCCCUUGGUGUGCAUCAACUG